UGGGGAAUAUUGCACAAUGGGCGCAAGCCUGAUGCAGCCAUGCCGCGUGUAUGAAGAAGGCCUUCGGGUUGUAAAGUACUUUCAGCGGGGAGGAAGGGAGUAAAGUUAAUACCUUUGCUCAUUGACGUUACCCGCAGAAGAAGCACCGGCUAACUCCGUGCCAGCAGCCGCGGUAAUACGGAGGGUGCAAGCGUUAAUCGGAAUUACUGGGCGUAAAGCGCACGCAGGCGGUUUGUUAAGUCAGAUGUGAAACCCCCGGGCUCAACCUGGGAACUGCAUCUGAUACUGGCAAGCUUGAGUCUCGUAGAGGGGGGUAGAAUUCCAGGUGUAGCGGUGAAAUGCGUAGAGAUCUGGAGGAAUACCGGUGGCGAAGGCGGCCCCCUGGACGAAGACUGACGCUCAGGUGCGAAAGCGUGGGGAGCAAACA
rnacentral:rRNA from 1 species